CUUUAUCGGAGAGUUUGAUCCUGGCUCAGGACGAACGCUGGCGGCGUGCCUAAUACAUGCAAGUCGAGCGGACAGAUGGGAGCUUGCUCCCUGAUGUUAGCGGCGGACGGGUGAGUAACACGUGGGCAACCUGCCUGUGAGACUGGGAUAACUCCGGGAAACCGGGGCUAAUACCGGAUGGUUGUUUGA
rnacentral:rRNA from 1 species